GUGACGCCCACUCCCACUCGGCCACCAACGACACCUCCAGGCCUCGAGCGUUUCACCGUCAACUUCACCAUCACCAAUCUCCCCUACGAUUCCGACCUGCACGUUCCUCACUCGGCAAAGCUCAACACCACCCAGAGGGUCAUGACCACCUUGCUCAACCGCCUUCUGAAGGACACCAGCAUUGGCCCCAGUUUCCUUGGGUGUGCAACCACAGCCUUCAGGUACG